AACGCCAGAACCUAAGAGUCCGAG
rnacentral:snRNA from 1 species